AAAAAAAAAAAAAAAAAAAACCACAUGCGCAUGAAGUUCAUAGGAGGAGAGUUUCCCUAGAGAGCUCCUUAGUGCCAAGGCCUAUGUUUCUAGGGCUCAUUUGCCUGAGCAAUUGGUCAUGUUGCUCUCCGACCUCUUCCACUUGUGGGAAGUUAUGGAUAUUUUUCCAAGACUAUAAGUUCAUAUUUUCUUAACCAGAUUGAACUUUUUGUUAGGGAAGCAAGGAAAAAUAAGGGAUCCUUAAUGGCGGAAUCACCUAACGCUUUCGGAGGUAAGAACACCACACUGCCAGAUCCUGGGCACCACAUUCUCUGAUAACAUCAACACCUUGAACUGUGCAGUCUAACAAAAGGAAGCCAAGUUUUGUGUCUCCAUGGCCUACCGAUCUCAGCUCCCCAUUGUAUUACUACGUUAGCAGUUAGCAGUUAGUGGGUAUUGCGUACCCACUAUGUGCUAAUAGAUAGAAAUGCCCUGUAUCUUUCAGCAACCCAGGAAGCAAAAACAAUGCUGAUUUCCUUUUUCAGAUGAGUGGCCUGAAGCACUAAGAAGCUAAGUGACUUGCCAGAGGUCACACAGCUGGGAAGUAGCAGAUCUGGGGCUUGUUGCCAAGUGUCUGGGUUUUGCUAUCUCUGCAGCUUGCACCGUUCAGAUCUUGUCUAUUAACAGCACUGUUAGGAAACCACGCUGCCUCCUGUCCUUUCCUGUCAGGCGAUCCAGAACUUCAGUGUCCCUGCAGCCCAGCAGCUAUUUGCGUGUUCACCGUGAAGUAAGAGAGAACCUGCCCUGCUCUCCCCAGGCAGCUUAUGAAUGGGAGCCUUGGCGUACUGCCAGCCAGCACCUGCUCACCUCCAGAAUCGCAGCGUUAGCUGGGCCCACUCCCCCUUGUCUGGCAGAGCCUGGCACAGCACGGAGGCAGUCUGCUAGCUGACAGAGUGAGUCAGGGAAUGAAUCCACAUGAUGGGAGCAACCUGUCCCUGCCUUUUCUACUUUUAGUUAAGGAGGAAAUAAAUGGAAGGAAUCAUUCUUGCA
rnacentral:lncRNA from 1 species